GACAGAGGCCUCAAGCGUUAGGCGGAAUCACUGGGCUUAAAGCGUGUGUAGGCGGACUUCUAAGUGCCUUGUGAAAUCCCACGGCUCAACCGUGGAACUGCUGGGCAUACUGGGAGUCUUGGGCCAUUCAGGGGCAACUGGAACAAGCGGUGGAGCGGUGAAAUGCGUAGAGAUCCGGAGGAACACCAGAGGCGAAGGCGGC
rnacentral:rRNA from 1 species